AUUUGGUGUUGGGAGCACUUGAUGCACAAUUUCUUGAAUCGCUCCUAGUAAUCAUAAAGCGAUUCCCCUGGGUGUUGCUUAAUGCCACAAAUCUCUUUUCUUAGACU